CCUGGUCGAUCCUGCCAGUAGUCAUAUGCUUGUCUCAAAGAUUAAGCCAUGCAUGUCUAAGUAUAAAAGUAUUCUAUACUUGAAACUGCGAAUAGCUCAUUAAAUCAGUUAUAGUUUAUUUGAUGGUGCCUUACUACAUGGAUACCCGUAGUAAUUCUAGAGCUAAUACAUGCCAAAAAAACCCGACCUUCCGGAAGGGUUGUAUUUAUUAGAUAAAAAACCAAUCCUCGCAAGAGGAACUGUGUUGAUUCAUAAUAACUGUUCGAAUCGCAUGCCGCAAGGCGGCGAUAGAUCAUUCAAAUUUCUGCCCUAUCAGCUCUCGACGGUAGUGUAGUGGACUACCGUGGCAUUAACGGGUAACGGAGAAUUAGGGUUCGAUUCCGGAGAGCGAGCCUGAGAAACGGCUAGCACAUCCAAGGAAGGCAGCAGGCGCGCAAAUUACCCAAUCCUGACACACAGGUAGUGACAAAAAAUAACAAUACCGGGCUUUUAUAAGUCUGGUAAUUGGAAUGAGUACAAUUUAAAUCCCUUAACGAGGAACAAUUGGAGGGCAAGUCUGGUGCCAGCAGCCGCGGUAAUUCCAGCUCCAAUAGCGUAUAUUAAAGUUGUUGCAGUUAAAAAGCUCGUAGUUGGAUUUCUGGUAUGGUGCGCCUGGUCCACGGUUGCAAAACCGCGAGUAUCGGUGUGCGCCUGCCAUCUUUCUAGUUAACUGGACGCACUUAACUGGGCGGUCAGCGAUCUAGUUCUUUUACUUUGAAAAAAUUAGAGUGUUUAAAGCAGGCUUGCGCUAUGAAUACAUUAGCAUGGAAUAAUAAUUUAGGACUUUGCUUCUAUUUUAUUGGUUUCUAGGAGUUAAGUAAUGAUUGAUAGGGAUAGUUGGGGGUGCUAGUAUUCAUCGGCCAGAGGUGAAAUUCUUGGAUUCGAUGAAGACUAACUAAUGCGAAAGCAUUCACCAAGGAUGUCUUCUUUAAUCAAGAACGAAAGUUGGGGGAUCGAAGACGAUCAGAUACCGUCGUAGUCUCAACCAUAAACUAUACCGACUAGGGAUAAGGGGAAGUUGCUUUUUCGACUUCCUUUGCACCUUAUGAGAAAUCACAAGUCUUUGGGUUCUGGGGGGAGUAUGGUCGCAAGGCUGAAACUUAAAGGAAUUGACGGAAGGGCACCACCAGGAGUGGAGCCUGCGGCUUAAUUUGACCCAACACGGGGAAACUUACCAGGUCCGGACAUAGUGAGGAUUGACU
rnacentral:rRNA from 1 species